UGUUGUAGCUGUGGGAAGACAUUUUACUCUCUUACUCUUUUCUGUUUCCUUUUUAAAAAUUUUGUUAAUAUUAGAUAUUGUGUUUUACCUAUGUAGUGUUACACCUGUUAGAGUUGUGUGUCUGGGAAAACAUCUGGAUUUAUCUGCGGAUUUAGGCCUCAUACAGAUGUCUGUAUUUUGUGUGAAGCAAACAGUUGAAGCGAAAUUUUAAAAUGGCAUGGAGGCAGGGCCAGAGCUUCAGGUUAUUACGUGCAAAGUAUUGAUGGAACUGGAUGGCUUCAGUCGAUCGGGAGCUAAUGCAUCCCUAAUCCUGUCUUUGUUACAGAGGAAUGUUCUGCUUGGGUCUCUGAUGGGGAAAUAGGUGCAAAGCUGUUGAUCCUAGUUUUAUUUGUCAGAAACCCAUGCAUCAAUCAAAUACAAGCCCAGCUGAGCGUUGAAAGACAUGGGGUUUCAGCUGAAGAAAUUUGAUAACGGUCUAUUGUCAGGCUGUACAUUCACUUUUCGAUAAGAAAUACAUUUGACUGAUGUAGAUAAGGAUGGAAGGGUUGUAGAGGGGAAGAGAGAACUGACAUACAUGGUACUAGAGGUGCAGCUGCUUCAUUACUGCAAAAUGUGUGUAUAAAAUCAAGUAUUGCUACAUCGAAAUGUGGGCUUUGACUCCUGGGUUCAAGUAAAAUUCAUAGAAUGACUGAAAGGAAAGCUGCAUAAAUACAGCACAGAUGUGCUGGCCUGUGGGAUCACAUGCAGUGCUGGUACUGUAAGACAAACUAAAGCUUGUUAUUAUUAGUGCUCAGGGAGCUUUGCAAAGGACUGUUACAAUCCAUUUUUAAAAAGACAAUUGCUGUUUUAACAUUGAAAG